GCAUUAAUGGGGUAGUGGUAACCUGGGUCGUUGCCAUCAGGUGACUUAUUCGACCCGCCGGGGGUUCGAUUCCCUCUUAAUGCA